AGGAUGAAAUUUGAAAAAAAUAGGCAGGACAGGAGUUUUGAGUAAAAAAAAAAAGGCAGGAUGAGACACUUUGCAAAAAAAAAAAGGCAGGAUGACAAUUUAGGUAAAAAAAGGCAGGACCGAAUAGAGUGAAAAAUAAAAAGGCAGGACAGAGAUUACAACUAAAAAAAAAAUGCAGGACAAAUUUUUUCAUCCUAGCCCCCCC
rnacentral:lncRNA from 1 species